UACAGUUUUUCUAUCUCCUUUAUCCUCUAAUUUAGUGUCCGUUCGUGUUUUGACCAGAAUCAAUUAAAGGUACGUUUAGACUGAAGGGAUGACUGAAGAAAGAUCUAUUGAUAGCUCUAUUACGCAGAAUUUGGGAUCCAGGUUCGAGAAUCUCAAUUCAGGUGAUGAUGUUUAUUUAUGAAUAGUUUUUUUCAAUAUAUAUUCUGUGUUUUGAUUUGCUUAAACAUCAUGUAAGGUCAGGAAAAGAACAUUUAAUAGGUUAGACAGAGCCUUGUUGCAUGUUACAACUCAGUGAAGGAUCAAUGGCGAUGUCAAAUAGUUUAUUUUCCUUGUCCCUUUUAUAUGUUAUCAUAUUCUAUAAUUGGCUUGUCUUGAUUCUGGUUAUUUUGAAAAUGUUUCAUCAUAGGGCUUCUGCUUUAUUUGUGGGAGUUUAUGAAUUCACAGACAGUGUAGAAACUGCUGAAGACCUUUCUUUUUAAUUUAAGCGCAGUUGCUCACUUGACUGCAGGGGCCAUAUGUGGAUUUCCUGCCUCUCUGAUUCGCGUGCCUAGUGAGGUUGUGAAGCAGAGUAUCCAGACUGGACAGUUUGCAUCAGCUACAAACGCUGUUGAAGUGUUAUUGCAUCACAAGUACAUGUAAUCAAGUUGCAAAAGAAGACAACUACCUUGACGGGACAACAGACUUAUAAUAAGGGUUUAUUGACAACUGCAAUGAGAUGGACUUGGUUAUAUUUUCAGCAAACCGAGAGUAACCAAUUCAGUAUUACCACAAUGUAAGUGGAUUUUUAAAGUUUGAUAAUGAAAAGCUACGUAGGAGUGUCUGUAUUGACACAUUUGAUUCAGUAGACGAAGAUAAACUAAGAUCAUUUAACAAUUUAGAUUAGAUGUUUAUGUUUUUGGGAAUGUUAUUCAACAAUAUGUUGGUAAUUGGAAUUGUAAUGUUAUGGCUUAGUAAUGGUUCGGUAAUAGUUUUGUAAUUUUUUUAUUUCAUAAUUAUAAACAGCGAUAGAUAUCAAAGUCAACUCAUGUGGUUUAGUAAUGGUUUCAAAUUUUUUGAUUUCAUAAUUAUAAACAGCAGCAAAGUCAACUCAUGUGGUUUAUAAUUGGUUUGUUAUUUUAUGGUUUUGUAAUUACAUAGGCUUCAAUAGACUAUCGAUUUUCAGUAGAUAACAUUAUAUGGUUUAGUAAAUGUUUGUUUUAUGGUUUAGUAAUCACGCAGGGUUCAAUAGAUUAACUCUCGGUUUAAAAAAAAAGACAAAACACUGUGUUUUAAACUUAGUGGCAUAGAUUGGUAAAUUUUGAGGAAAACUAAUGGUAAUUUUAUUUUUGUACUUCAGUUUUAAUAGA